UACGUAGGGGGCAAGCGUUGUCCGGAUUUAUUGGGCGUAAAGAGCGUGUAGGCGGUUUGGUAGGUCCGCUGUGAAAACUCGAGGCUCAACCUCGAGACGCCGGUGGAAACCAUCAGGCUAGAGUCCGGAAGAGGAGAGUGGAAUUCCUGGUGUAGCAGUGAAAUGCGUAGAGAUCAGGAGGAACAUCUGUGGCGAAGGCGCCUCUCUGGACUAAUACUGACACUGAGGAGCGAAGGCGUGGGGAUCAAACAGG
rnacentral:rRNA from 1 species